AAUGUGUUUACUGAAUGUUCGUAUCCGUUUACGAUGAUUGUGUGUUGCAUUGAUUUAGUGCGAUUUGUUAUUAGUCCAACAUGUCGUCGAUUGCCUCGUGUGGUUUAUGGUGUUUGACCCGUCAUCAAUCAAGUCGAUUUCAUACACAAAGAGACCUGAGCCAUGCGCAAUCGAAGAAAGGUUAUCUUCGGACUAUCAAUCCCGAUUCGAAGAUUUCUCACGCUUGUCCCAUUUCUUUGCACGAUGAAGUGUUAUGGCAGGUAUUUCGGAUGUAACUGUCAUGCUGAAACAACCAGAGCAGCCAUACAAUUUAUCAAAGCUGCGAGUCGUAGGACGGUGUUAUCCCUCAAGUAACCAGCUAACAAGUGGGUGUCAUCCCUGGAUUGUUAUUAGCGAAACCACAUCCCUCUUUAACGUUGACAACGGACGAAGGACAGUGGAUUGGUCCUAAUUCGCUUCACGGCAAGCACACCCAGGCUCCUCAUAACAUGUAAGUAAAACCGGCUGCCAAUCGUUUUUCAGUCCAAUUCAUCAAUAUCAGACGCGGAUCUAGCUUCCGUUGGAUCGAGAACAAAAUAAUUCCCGAUGCCUGGCUCUAUUCUUGUAAGUCCGUCAGUGGUUCAACUACCCCUUUCAUGUUAUAACGGUGAAAACAGAGCUUUAAUAUAUCGGCUCGAUGGUCUAGGGGUAUGAUUCUCGCUUUGGGUGCGAGAGGUCCCGGGUUCAAAUCCCGGUCGAGCCCUUUUGUAUUUCAUGAACAACGUAUCCGUACGGCUGUUAACUGGACCUUCUAAACGAGCUUGAUGUGGUGAACCAAGAUGUACCAAUCGAGCCAUUAAAUUCCACGCGUGUGUUUCAGAUAUUACAUGACAUCAAGCUUUUCCAAUCACUGGACCAGUUAAGUAGACCAGCUCUUAUAUCAUUGUUUUAGGUUUAUUUAUAUUGGCUCGAUGGUCUAGGGGUAUGAUUCUCGCUUAGGGUGCGAGAGGUCCCGGGUUCAAAUCCCGGUCGAGCCCAAUUGUAGUUUACCCAUCAAUCGUAAGCUUUUGUUUUUGCAAUAAUGAAAAACGAAUCUAAUGGCUAAGUUAAAAUUGCAAAUAUCUAUCAUUGCUUGUUUAUAUUUCGUUUUGAUUCGCUCCCAUGUAUCAGAUCUCGGCAAUGUUCCCCAAUCCUCCUGAAUUUCUAUUCCCCAAAUCCUCCUAACCAAUCAUCGCAUCACAUUCAUUACAUCAUGAAGUAUUAU